rnacentral:rRNA from 1 species
GAUGAACGCUGGCGGCGUGCUUAACACAUGCAAGUCGAACGAAGCACUUUAUUUGCUUUCCUUCGGGACUGAUUAUUUUGUGACUGAGUGGCGGACGGUUCAGUAACGCGUGGGUAACCUGCCUUGUACUGGGGGAUAACAGUUGGAAACGGCUGCUAAUACCUCAUAAUCGCACUGCAUCUCAUGCUGCAGUGGGAAAAGCUCCGGUGGUAUAAGAUGUACCCGCGUUGGAUUAGCUAGAUGGUGAGGUAACGUCGCACCAAGGCGAAGAUCCAUAGCCCACCUGAGAGGGGGAACGGGGACAAUGGGACUGAGACACGGACCAAAGUGCAACAGGAGGCAGCAGUGGGGAAUAUUGCACAACGGGGCAACGUGUGAUGAAGCGACGCCGCGGGAGCGAAGAAGUAUUUAGGUAGGUAAAGACCUAUCAGCAGGGAAGAUAAUGACGGUACCUGAGUAAGAAGCACCGGCUAAAUACGUG